AUGCAUUUUGUGGUUAAAGUGUGAAAAUUGCAUUUCUAUUGAUUUUUAUGGUAAAAACUUCAUAUUUUGUAGGUUUAAUGAUUCAAUCAUCAAAUGAAGUGCAUUGAGAAGAUAUUUGGAUGGUUGAAGAUGGAUUAAAGUGGUGAAAAUAAAAUAUGAAGUGUAAAAGGAAAAAUGCAAUUUGAAUCAAGAAAAGUCAGCUUUGACAACUCUGACACGUUUUGGUAUUUUAACUAUAUCUGGAGCUACAUAGAUUGGAUUCAGAUGAUAUUUAUAUCAUUUUAAAGCUAAGAGACAGAUCUACAUUUGGUAUGAAGACAUCAAAGUCCAAUUCGGCUGUUUUCCUGGUCAAAAUGUCAAAAUACAGAAGUCAAAGUCUGCUGCUGAGAGCUGAAAACGCGGAAUUGACCAGUCAGUGGUAUUUUUAUCAUAUCUCGGUCUAGACAGCUCCAAAUUGGAUGAUUCUUGAGGCAUUGGACAGCUAUUUCAAUGGACUACAACUUCUAUGUUUUGUACAAGAGCUAAUUCAGCCGUCAUCAUAGAGAAAAUAGCAGUUGAAGUAGCCAGAUUCUGGUCAGAAAUAGCUGCUGGUACAACCUGUUUUCUCCUUCAACAAUUUACAGCUAUGGAUGAACGUAUGACAACCAAUUAGCAGCUGUAAAAUGGAUGUUUCAAGCCUCAUUUCCUGAUUGCAUUCAUCUAUAUAUAACCAUGGACUUACAGGAUUCAAGAUAACUUGGGAAAAGGCUAGAGAAACUUACCAGAAAUGUAGUUUUCACUAGAGUUUCCUUGGUUCAUUAGUAUAGUAUAGGUAGAGUAGUUUAUCCAUCUUGUAUUUGUAGUUAGAUUUGGAUGAAUAUUGGAGGGGCAAAGAUGAAGAGGUUGAUCUCAUGUGACAAGGGUGAUAUCUCUUCUACUACUUUCUCUCUUGUAUUGGAUUUCAUGUUUAAUUAUAAUACAAGUUGGCUUUGUGUUUUUAUUAUGUUUAG
rnacentral:lncRNA from 1 species